UACGUAGGGUGCGAGCGUUAAUCGGAAUUACUGGGCGUAAAGUGUGCGCAGGCGGUCGGCCAAGUCGAGUGUGAAAGCCCCCGGCUCAACUGGGGAGGGUCAUUCGAUACUGGUCGACUCGAAGGCAGGAGAGGGAAGCGGAAUUCCCGGUGUAGUGGUGAAAUGCGUAGAUAUCGGGAGGAACACCAGUGGCGAAGGCGGCUUCCUGGCCUGUUCUUGACG
rnacentral:rRNA from 1 species